ensembl:lncRNA
AGAGGGGAUCCGCGAGGGCACAAGGUGGAAAGGUGACCCAAACCCUUCUGGUUUCCAAGGGUGUUUGCAGUGGUAGGAGGAAGAUUGCUUGGGUUGAACACCAAGAGUAUUUGUGCUUGUAAAUUCAAAAGCCUCGGCCGCCCCAGAAGCUGAAUUUGAACCUAGGACCCGAUGGUGUCGUGGGAUGCGCCGCCUCCCGCCCCGGAGUUAGCUACAAAGUUUAACUCUACAAUCGAAACGUGACUUCUGCAAUUUCCAAAACGGGAUCUCACCAGCGUCUCCCGGGGUGGGGAAGCGGGAUGGAAGCCCCAAAGUGAAGUGGGGGGGUGGGGUGAGGGGAAGAGCGGGGAAAUCAAUUGGGGGGAAAAAUACACGCGGGAUUAAAUAAACUAAGAGGCUCAGUGGGCGGAAUUCUGGAUCUGGGUUUUGAAACAGAGAGGGUCCCUCUACCUUUGGCCAUCUGGCUGUUUUAAGCUCUGCCCCAUGCUGUAUGAUUUUAGCUGAAAAUCUCUUCCGUUGCAGCUUUGCUUUUAUUGAAUUCAUCAAAAGCAAACUUUCCCUGAGUUUUUUUUUUUUUUUUUUUUUAAGAAGGCUAAAAUAAUACGCCGACCACUGUGACAUUCUACGCGCCCAGGCCAUUUUUCAUAACGCCGCGGAUCCGCUUUUGUGCCUCUGAGGCGGCUAAACAGAUGAAUAACGAGCAAAGUCUCCCGAAACCGCAGCUAGUUUGAUAGUUGUUUUCUGACAAGAGGGAAGAAAAGGCUGCAGCACUAAAGGAAGAAACAAAGUGUUAAAAGGAUUCUCAAAUGUAGUAUUGUGGCAGGUCGGGGGGUUCAUAAGCUGGUACUCUUACUUGGCUGCUAUGAUCCCAGCCCGCAGUUGCAGAGAGCUUCUCCUUAUCUCUUCUUCCAGAUUUGUCUCCAGGCUUCAGGAACACAAACUCCUGAGUCUAAAAUUUCCACCAGCAGGGUAUGAACCACUGCCUCCAGGCUGGGUAAACCCCCGCUCUUGCCCCCUAGCGGAGGGUUUGGCAGCGCAGCUGAAGCAGCAACCACCAGCGAUCACCUGCUGUGUGCCAAGUACUGUGGUGGUGAGUGAGGCCUCGCCAGAACGGGGUAGGAUCCAGUGUCACCCUUGGACUCUGUAAAACGACUUAAGCCUGAGCAGGCAUUCUAGCUCUGGAUCCGUGUGGUUCCUCACCUGCAGGCUUCAUCAGAACCCUACCUCGUGCAACUUGCACUUGGAGCUUGACUGGAGGCAACUCUGACCACCAGAAACUCCAAACUGCUCGGUUUGGGAGGGAGACGCUUGCUGCCCCUUGGCAGGCCUGGUUAUAAUUUGCGUCUUCUUGUAUAGAGCUGUCCAAUUUGACCUGUAGCUACAACCAAUCCUGGAUCAGCAUUGUCAGACCUCGGUUCUCCAGCACUCUGUUUGAAGAGCCCCAUUUUGUGCAGUGGCAGUCACAACAAAACCCAACUUUCCUCUGUGACUUUGUUCUUUUGAUUUUUAAUAGAUCAAAGACGAGGCGGGAGGAAGGAAAAGCAAGGGAGGGGGGAAAGAGAGGAGGGGUAAGGAUUGUUGUCGUGUCAAGAUGCAUCGCCCAUUUGAGGCCACUAGCCCUAUUAGAAGGGAAAAGUGCACGGAAAAGGGCGAGAAACCUGCACUUGGCGGGGUAUUGUUUGGGGGAUUCGAGCUGCGGCCACCGCCGCCGCCAUACAGUAACGUCGCCAUGGCAACGCAACCUGCUGCUGCCGCCGCCAAAGUUGAAGGCGCUUGAAAGGGCUUGAAGAGACCAGAAUCAGCAAACCCUAUUUCUGUUCCCCGAGAACAACGGGGAGAAAAUGAGACUGGAAAAGAAAGGAGGAAAAGAGGGUGGUGGCGGUGGGGAGACAGAGAGAGGGAGAGAGGGAGAGAGGGAGAGAGGGAGAGAGAAGGAGAGAGGGAGAGGGAGAGAGAGGGAGAGAGGGAGAGAGAGAAUAUUUGAAUGAAUGAGAGGGAGGAAGAGAAGAGAGAAUAUGAGUGAGAAGGAGGGGUAAGGCUGAGAGAAACCCCACCCCAAGCCUAUGAAUGCUGGCAUUGUCCCUUCUUUUCUGAAUCUGAUUUACCAUAUCAUAACCCCCAGGAAGAAGAAAACAUCAAUAUCCCGAGGGAAUGGAGAUGUUUCUAUGGAAAACCUAGGAAUUUUAGUCCAUAACAGAUCUGGUGUAAAAAAAUCAAAGAGAUCAAAGGCAGCGCUCCCUGGAGUAUAGAUGCGUCUCUGAAUUAAAGAUGGACGAUGCAGACUACAAAGUACUUUUUUCUUCUUUAUUCAGUCUUCUGUUUCCAUUUCAAGGGAGGCGCUGGCCUCGUCAUAUCUGAACUACACCACCAUUUCGAACAAUGUCAUGAAGGGGAUAAAAGAGGGGCUGGGGGCGCCCAGAGCUCGGCUUCCUCUGCCCCAGUCAGGUUUCCCAACCAUCUUCUCCAGCGUUCUCAGUGAUGGCGUGGCCCGGCCCUACUCAUAAGAAGGAGUUCCCGGGAAGCCCCACCCCUCACCUCAAGUCUGUAGGGACACUUAGGAAAAGGGAGAUCCACGGAAAUCUGGGGAGAAGCAGUGGUCUUAGGCUGUCUUUUCGCCAGACCAAAUUAAGCUUGGGACAAUAUUAAAGACUGCCCAGCAGUGCUCCGGGCCCAGGAGUGGACUGGCAAGGCUGGGGGCACCCUUGGUGGUAGUGGUGGGAACCUGGGGACAGUCCCAAGAGUGGUCUUCGCAGAUGUGGGCUCCUGGAAGUUCUUCCAAGAGAGAGGCCUCAAAAGGGGGACACAUUCCUGGAGAGCGGGGAAGCAUCUCCUUGCACGUCUAAGAAACAAACUCUGGUUUCUAGGUACUCUGGAAAGAAAGACUCACUUCCACAUCCAGGGCAAAGUUUUUUUUUUUAAUAUUUUUAUUUUAAUCUCACCACUUCUGGCUGGUAAUAUGGCGAUCUAGUAACUGUUACUCUUUUAUUUAUUUAUUUUUAAAGUCAAAUUGAGAAGCUAGGGAUCAGGAUUCUCAAGUCAGUGAAGAGGCAAGGAAAGUAGCCGUCUGGCAGCAGCCUCUCAGCGAGCGUGUACUCCACGUGGCCAGACAAUUCCGUGGCCUCGCCAAGUGUAUGCGUGCCAGCGUGGGCGUCGGCCGCCCCCGCAGGCUCGCGCGGCUGCUUUGGGGCUGCUUCCAGACCUUGCUUGUGGCCGGGAAAUUAAAACAAUAAAUUUUCACAAGGGGGAGACUGUCCGCUUCCU